AAAAAUGACUCAGUCCCUAUGAGUCAUAGUUUCUCCUCUAUAAAUUUGAAAUGUUGGAAGUCACAGUAUUGAUCUUGGCUUAAGUACUGGUCCUGAAUUUAUCAAACUCGUUGUAAAAUGAGUUAAAAGUGAGGCUGAGCGCAGGGCCAAAACAAGGCUGAGACAAAACAUUCUUCCUUUAACUUGUCUGUGUUUCCCAGAGAAUGUGUUCUCAUUAUUUUGUCUGCUGUUUUGUACCUUUGGACAUUCCACCAAUGAUGAAAUUCAGACAGUUCUAUCAGAUUUCGCUUCAAAAAUUUUGGACCUUUGUUACUAGGUACAUAAACAUCUGAGGUGUUUAUUGGAGCUCUUUGCCUAGAACUGAUAAUUGGAUUCAUGGUAUUCUGGAGAACAAGGAAACAGGCUGAGGAAGAAUAAGAGACUUGCUUGAGGAAGAAAACUGAAGCCCAGAAAGCUUAAUAUAUUACCCAAAGAGUUAGUCCACAUUGAACUGGGAGUUAAUCCUUGUCUGUCUGGCUGGAAAGCUUUUGCUCUGUAUCUUGGAUGAAUAAACUAAACCUUAGGGAAUCUUCCUAGAAGAAACCAUAUAACGCCUCCUGUACGAGAAGUUAAAUUACAACACAAAGAUUGCUUGGUGAGCAUGUGAUCAAAACAGGGCAAGAUGAAGACCUUUAGAGGCCACAAGCAUUUUAGUGUGCCUCCCAACUUCCCUUAUAUUAUUCAAAAUAUAAACAAUAAAAUCUACAAAGAUGUGAAAGAAGUCCA
rnacentral:lncRNA from 1 species